AAAGAACUGUUGUUUUCUCUGCAAACUGUCCCUUGCAAUACUGACAUCUCUAACUUUCUUACAGAAUUUUAAGGUUAUGCAGAAAUGUACCUUCUUGUUGUCUUCUCUGAUUGCUAUUUCUUUUCAUUAAAACACAUCUCCCCCCUCCAAAAAACAACAACAACCCCACUUUAAAAAAGAAUGUCCCUGCCUCUACUGAGAACACAAAACAAGCCAGCUCCAAGGGCUAAAAAUAGACUGUUCCAUUCGGAAUGCAAACUAUUCAGUCUUCAAAACUAUUUAUACAGUGUGAAUUAAUUGCAGAUGGCCAAUUCGUAUAGCAAGGUCCCAGCAACCGAUAAGAAAAGUGCUACUACCUUCGCCGGAUUGAAACCAGGAAAGUCCAGAAAAAGCAAACACAAUUUUUAGAAUCAUAGAAUUGGAAGAUGCCACAAGGGCCAUCCAGUCAACCACCUGCUCUGCUCUUCCAUCACUAAAGGGAAAAAAUUUGUGAUGAAAGAAACACCGAAGAGGAGGAUGAAGAAAAAGGGGGCGCCAUGUCAUGGAACUAAGUCCCAGGGCUGAAUUUCCAAGCCCUGGACUUGGAGUCAUAACAUAAAUAAUCCUGGAUGUCUCAUGGAAGCACCUGGCAGAAGAAGAUAGAAGAGCCUGGGAACUCGGGGUUGAAAGUAUAAACAAUUAUAAUUGGUAGAGUGUGUGGGGAUAGUAGAAAUGUGAUACAGGUGGUGGGAUUUGGUGAUGAUAUUUACGUGUGGUGUGACGUUGCAACAAAGGUGAUAAAAAUGAUUGUAUGUAAACAUUAGGUCAUUCUCGACUUUUCCAAAGUCAUGUAUUCUUCAAUAAAGAUUGGGUUUGAGAGCAGCUGUCUUUGAUCUGCGUUCAGACUGGUCCUUUGAAGUGAGCCUGACAGAAGGAGAUGAAUAAGUUCCUGAGCAAGAUCUGAUUUUGGUAGUUAAGCAAAGUCAGCACUGGUCAGCCCAGGCAUGGGCAAACUUUGGCUCUCCAGGUGUUUUGGAUUUCAACUCCCACAAUCCCUAAAUGCUUGCCGGCUGUUAGGAAUUGUGGGAGUUCAUAUGGUGGUCCUGUAAUACAGUUCAAGAAUUCUGGAUAAAAGUGGUCAAAGAAACAAACAAUAUGAUAACCAAAAAGGUCAAGAAAAACCCGGAAAUGUGCUUAUUAGGUUUAUUUAGAAGGCGUAUUAGCGCAGGAGAUGAAGAAAUUUGCCAAUAUGGUUUUGUUGCAGCAAGACUAAUAAUAGCUAAAACAUGGAAGGGGGAAGAAAAGCUAGGUAUUAAAGACUGGAGAGAUAAACUGGGGGAAUAUAUCCAAAUGGCCAAGCUGACAAAUAGUAACAGAGGAGGAAAUAAUGAGGGUUUUGUAAACAAAUGGAGGCUGGCACUUGGGUAUCUGGAAAAGAAGACAAAGGUAGAUUUGAUGACUGACAUAAAGGGGAUUUAGCGAAAGAAGAUAUGUGGGUAGUUGAUGGUUAGUUACGUGAUACUUACUGAGGGGUAUCGGAGGUCUAGGGGGUUGGGUUCACGGGUGAGGGGUUUGGGGGACAAGGAUAAGUUAAGGUAUAACAACGGUACAGCCACUCUGUGAAUAUCCAUUAGUUUAACAAGCGCUGGCUGUACACUACAGUGCAAAUCUUUAUAUCUUUCUGUAUUUUUUUCUUUUUUUAUAUGUGUGUAUUUUAUUUUACUUCUUGUUUUUCACUUUCAUGAUUGUCUGUUAUAAUUUCUAAAAUAAUAAAAAAAAACUUUUAAAAAAAGGAAUUGUGGGAGUUGAAGUCCAAAACACCUGAAGGGCCGAAGUUUGCUCAUGCCUGGGUUAGCCCUUGGAUGGGAGAAUAUCAAGGACAGCCAGACUAUAUUGCAGACAAAGGGACUGGCAAAACAGUCGAGUACGAGAAAACCCUAUAAAAUUUAUGUGGUCACCCUAAGUUGGUAGUAUAAGUCAGUCCUGGGCUAUUCAAUAAAGUGACAAUGUUAGGGUCACAGGUCUGCAUUUUCUCAAGAUGUUUUUGUUGUCAUGAGUUAAGAUGUUCUGGGGGACAUCCAUGUAGGCAGGAGAAUUAGAAACUAAAUUAAAAUGUGGACAUUAUGCCAUGUAUAGUUUUAUUUAUCUGUCCCCACCCCCAUCCAUCUGUCAGCUCUGGUCAAAGGAUUCCAUGAGGUUGAUAUGAAAAUAGUAAGAAUUUGGGAAACCUCUUUACUUGAGGAAACUGUUGAAUGAUACACAAACACAUUGUUUACUCUUUAAGUAUCCCUCAAUGUAUUGAAAGAAAAGUUGCCUUAUUUUCAGAGAGCUGGUCACAAAGUAUUGGAUAUUUGCAAAUAGUUUUGUUAUUUGUUGAGACAAAGUAAUUCUGUGUUACCAAGCCAAAAUAACUUACAGGACAUAACUUACAGGACAAAAUAACUUACAGUCUACUUAGAACUAUCAAUGCAACUCAUUCCUAGGCAAAUGUGUUUAGGAGAAAUUAAAACAUUUACUAAUUAAAAUAUUUUAUAAUUAUUUCAUAUAUUAAAGAAACAUAAAGGAUGAUAGAUAUGUUGGCCUACAUUCAUGUAACAAAUGGAUGGAAGGGGAAAAUAUAGCACUUAUUAUGGAAAAAUCUUUAACAUAUCCAAAAUUGAUAGGAUGUCCCAAAUGUUCCUAAUAAAAAUAUCAUUUAAAAUUA